UAGGGAAUCUUCGGCAAUGGGGGCAACCCUGACCGAGCAACGCCGCGUGAGUGAAGAAGGUUUUCGGAUCGUAAAGCUCUGUUGUAAGAGAAGAACGUGUGUGAGAGUGGAAAGUUCACACAGUGACGGUAACUUACCAGAAAGGGACGGCUAACUACGUGCCAGCAGCCGCGGUAAUACGUAGGUCCCGAGCGUUGUCCGGAUUUAUUGGGCGUAAAGCGAGCGCAGGCGGUUUAAUAAGUCUGAAGUUAAAGGCAGUGGCUUAACCAUUGUUCGCUUUGGAAACUGUUAAACUUGAGUGCAGAAGGGGAGAGUGGAAUUCCAUGUGUAGCGGUGAAAUGCUUAGAUAUAUGGAGGAACACCGGUGGCGAAAGCGGCUCUCUGGUCUGUAACUGACGCUGAGGCUCGAAAGCGUGGGGAGCAAACAGG
rnacentral:rRNA from 1 species